GCCUUGCGAGUGUGAUGGAAGCACGGCGGUCUUCGGAACCGUAAGACGGGGUUCAACUCCUCGGCGAGGUA
rnacentral:tRNA from 1 species